CAGAGAAGGUGUUUGAUGAAAUGCUUGAGAGAGGGGUAAAGCCUGAUAAUGUUACUUUCUCGACUAUUAUUAGUUGUGCUAGGCAGUGUAAUUUGCCUGAAAAAGCUAUUGAAUGGUUUGAAAAGUUGCCAUCUUUUGGGUGUGAACCAGAUGAUGUUACGUACUCUGUGAUGAUUGAUGCUUAUGGUAAGGCUGGUAAUGUAGAUAUGG
rnacentral:misc_RNA from 1 species